AUUGAACGCUGGCGGCAGGCCUAACACAUGCAAGUCGAGCGGAGUGGCGGACGGGUGAGUAAUGCCUAGGAAUCUGCCUGGUAGUGGUGGAUAACGUCCGGAAACGGGCGCUAAUACCGCAUACUAUCGGAAUAGCAUAGGUCGGAUUGGCUAGUUGGUGGGGUAAAGGCCUACCAGGGCGAAGAUCCGUAACUGGUCUGAGAGGAUGAUCAGUCACACUGGAACUGAGAAACGGUCCAGACUCCUACGGGAGGCAGCAGUGGGGAAUAUUGGACAAUGGGCGAAAGCCUGAUCCAGCCAUGCCGCGUGUGUGAAGAAGGUCGUCGGAUUGUAAAGCACUUUAAGUUGGGAGGCGUUACCAACAGAAUAAGCACCGGCUAACUUCGUGCCAGCAGCCGCGGUAAUUC
rnacentral:rRNA from 1 species